AUCAUAAAUCCUUAAACUUACGUGUUAGUCUUCUUAACAGACUGUUGCCUUCAAUUUUCUUGUGUUUCAGCAUUUCCUGAUACCAUCAGAGACCACAGGUGAAGUGUUGAAAUAAAGCAAGAGUUUUCUCCUGAUGAGAUGUCCAGACAGACACGACUAAGGAGAUGAGCAGCUACCCAUAUCCUACGUAUAAGCUCUGAGAAGCAAGAGGCAGCUUUGCUCUGCACCUGGGCUGGAGCUGCUCCUCCCCUCAGCAGAGAGCAGGACACGAGGGUGCUGCUGCACGUGUGGAACAAGUGGCAAUCUGCAGUGCUGAGAGGAGCACAAGCUGAAAACAUGGGUUCUGUGGUUUCAUCCUGUAUUGCAACCUUCCAGCCGAAGACCAUAUAAGUCAAAACAGAAGGAACAGAAAGCCUCAUUUAUCUGAGGCAGCAUCUUCUUGCAGGUGAGAAACUAAGGUGACAUCUCCACUCCAUUACAAUGGUGUGACUUGCUACAAGCCUGACAU
rnacentral:lncRNA from 1 species